rnacentral:lncRNA from 1 species
CCCUGCUAGAAAAAAAGAAAAGACAACAUUAGACAUACACAAAGGUCUUAACAGAAAACAUACCUGGAAUUCCUCAAUCUGCGUCGCGACCUGCUAGAAAAAAAGAAAAGGCAACAUUAGACAUACACAAAGGUCUUAACAGAAAACAUACCUGCGAAUCCUCAAUCUGCGUCGCGCCCUGCUAGAAAAAAAGAAAAGGCGAAAUUAGACAUACACAAAGGUCUUAACAGAAAACAUACCUGGAAUCCUCAAUCUGCGUCGCCCCUGCUAGAAAAAAAGAAAAGGCGAAAUUAGACAUACACAAAGGUCUUAACAGAAAACAUACCUGGAAUUCCUCAAUCUGCGUCGCGCCCUGCUAGAAAAAAAGAAAAGGCGACAUUAGACAUACACAAAGGUCUUAACAGAAAACAUACCUGCGAAUCUUCAAUCUGCGUCGCGCUCUGCUGGGAAAAAAAAGAAAAGACAACAUUAGACAUACACAAAGGUCUUAACAGAAAACAUACCUGGAAAUCCUCAAUCUGCGUCGCGCCCUGCUAAAAAAAAAAAAAGGCCACACGACCUAAAGGCAAUCUGCGUCAAGACCUGCUAGAAAAAAAGAAAAGGCGACAUUAGACAUACACAAAGGUCUUAACAGAAAACAUACCUGGAAUUCCUCAAUCUGCGUCGCGACCUGCUAGAAAAAAAGAAAAGGCGACAUUAGACAUACACAAAGGUCUUAACAGAAAACAUACCUGGAAUUCCUCAAUCUGCGUCGCGCCCUGCUAGAAAAAAAGAAAAGGCAACAUUAGACAUACACAAAGGUCUUAACAGAAAACAUACCUGAAAAUCCUCAAUCUGCGUCGCGCCCUGCUAG